rnacentral:misc_RNA from 1 species
GUGAAUCAUCAAAUCUUUGAACGCAAAUUGCACUCUCUUCGGAGAGUAUGCCUGUUUGAGGGUCAGCCUAAAAAAAAUCGACGUAGUCGCUGUUUCGCGGUGACAUUCGUCGGAAAUUGGGUCAUCUUAAACCUUUGGGUUUUUUAAGCGGCUUAAAAUUUUCUUUACGAUUCAAGAAACGUUUCAAAGAUUUUCUUUCUAACACCCGUUUAGGUAAC